rnacentral:lncRNA from 1 species
GCUGAUCGUUCUAAAAUCUCGACUGAGAGUUGGAAAGGCUGCUUUUGACCAUUAUGGCCCAAAUCUUUGGAACACUCUUCCUGGGGAAGUUUGAGCCAUUUCAUGUUUGAGCACUUAAAAAAAAAAGAGCUUCAAAACUGUUUUAUUUAAAUGAGCUAAUUUGUAGGCUUAUUUUUUAUUUUUAGGUCACCUGUCUCUGAUCCUUACUAAACAAUUUUAAUUUGUAACUUUGCUAAUUUAUGUCUGUAUUUUUAUAAUGACUGCAAAUGUUUUAUUGAUUGUAUUAAUUAAUGACCUGAAUGUUUACCUUUUUAUGCUUAUAUGUGGGCUGUAAAGCAUUUUGGGCUCCACAUUUGUAUGAAAAAGUGAACAAUUCUUUUCUGUUUCUAAAUGUUUUAUAGCCUGAAGUAUCAGUUCCUGAGAGUCUAUGCCAACAAAAGAAUAGAAGAUCUCCACAAACUUCUCCUGGGAACAUUGCUACAGAGGCUGACUAUUGCUACUACUACACACAACUAUAAUAUCAGUGUUGCUCCCAGGACCUGUGACUGCACAAAUCCCUCUGGAGUGAUGUUGGACAAACUCUGCCAUUUGCAAAAUUCAAAGUUGAAGAACAGGAAACAAGUGCAGACUGCAACAAAUGAUCAACUGAAAAACAUCCUGUGCAGCAACACCGUGCUAAACUUACCUGUAAGAUGGUAAUGCUUAGAGUCAGGUAUUCAUUCUGAUGCUUUGUAAGUGCAAUAACAUUAAUGGAAUUAGGAAAGAAAAGAACCACACAUUACUUAGAACAGCUUUAUUAUUUAAAUAAAGUACAUAAGACAUUAUUUUACA